rnacentral:rRNA from 1 species
UACAGAGGUCUCAAGCGUUGUUCGGAUUCAUUGGGCGUAAAGGGUGCGUAGGCGGGCAGGUAAGUCCGUGGUGAAAUCUCUGAGCUUAACUCAGAAACUGCCAUGGAUACUAUUUGUCUUGAAUAUUGUGGAGGUGAGCGGAAUAUGUCAUGUAGCGAUGAAUGACUUAGAUAUGACAUAGAACACCAAUUGCGAAGGCAGCUCACUACACAAUUAUUGACGCUGAGGCACGAAAGCGUGGGGAUCAAACAGG